AGCCAGCGUAGUGUAGUGGUUUUAGCGUUGGACUAUGACUCCAGAGACCAGAGUUCAAUUCCAUGCUUGGCUA